rnacentral:rRNA from 1 species
GACGAACCGAGCGAACGUUGUUCGGAAUCACUGGGCUUAAAGGGCGCGUAGGCGGGCUGCCAAGUCCGUGGUGAAAUCCCCCGGCUCAACCGGGGAAGGGCCUCGGAUACUGGCGGCCUCGAGGGGGGUAGGGGCGUGCGGAACUGUGGGUGGAGCGGUGAAAUGCGUUGAUAUCCAUAGGAACUCCGGUGGCGAAAGCGGUGUGCUGGAUCCUUUCUGACGCUGAGGCACGAAAGCGUGGGGAGCAAACAGG